UGGGGAAUAUUGCACAAUGGAGGGAACUCUGAUGCAGCAACGCCGCGUGAAGGAAGAAGGUUUUCGGAUCGUAAACUUCUAUCAACAGGGACGAAAAAAAUGACGGUACCUGAAUAAGAAGCCCCGGCUAACUACGUGCCAGCAGCCGCGGUAAUACGUAGGGGGCAAGCGUUAUCCGGAAUUACUGGGUGUAAAGGGAGAGUAGGCGGCAUGACAAGCAAGAUGUGAAAGCCCGGGGCUUAACCGCGGGACUGCAUAAUGAACUGUCAGGCUAGAGUACAGGAGAGGUAAGCGGAAUUCCUAGUGUAGCGGUGAAAUGCGUAGAUAUUAGGAAGAACACCGGUGGCGAAGGCGGCUUACUGGACUGAAACUGACGCUGAGGCUCGAAAGCGUGGGGAGCGAACAGG
rnacentral:rRNA from 2 species